rnacentral:lncRNA from 12 species
CUGCCAGGUGACACAGAACCAAUUAGUUAAAUGCCCCAAUGCUUAGGUUUGUUGACCUUGCAUCAUGGCAAUAUGUUGGUGUAAGUGGCUGGAAGCUGGGCAGAAUCACUCAAUUAUCAGAAGGCUGAAGACUCUCCCUGUUGCAGAGCCUGUGCUUUUGCUUUACUGUGGUGUGAGUGUCUCCAAGAGGAAGGUGCUGUCAGCUCAGUUAACAGGGAAGAUCACAGAAUACAGACUUGUCAUCUGAAAGAUGAAAGGAACAAAGAAGUAUCUGAAUUGAUCAUUGAGGCAGUAUUUCCAUGCCACCUUUUUUAUUUGCAAGUGUUAAUUUUCAG